AGCUAGUCCGAGACAUUGCACCUCGGAUGCAGAAUGCACUUCGCAUAUCAAACGAUGCAAUGCUAUAUAAUGUACCCUGUUUUCGCAAUCUUGCGUCAGUUUCACUAUUUACGUUGAGUGUUCCGUGAGCCAUGGCUUUCAAAAUAAUAUUUCCCGUUGUUUGCAUGGGCAUACUGGCCCAAACCACGAGCCACCUCCUGCGCGAGACUAGGGACGCAGUCACAUCCACAACCACAGCGGUGCCAAGCCAGAGUGCCAACCUGACGGCUACCAACUACACCGAGGAUGCCACCAACCACACAUCCAAUGUGAAUGUAACACGAGAGGUCAGGGAGACAGCCAACACCACAGAGGCCCCAAUUCACAACGCCAACCUAACAGACACCAAAAGUCACAGUGGCGUCAUCAACGCAACCAACACAGCCAACCACACCAUCCACAAGCGGGAGACCAAGGAAGCAGCGAACGCCACGGAGGCUCCAAGUGCCAACUUGACACUCAGUGACGUCACAAACCACACCAAUACUGCCAACCUAACACGGGAGACCCGCGCCACAACAACCGAAGUCCCAAACCAUAUCGGCAAUUCAACCCAGAGUGACGUCACUAACCUCACCACCAGUGCCAACCUAACGCGAGAAACCAGGGAAGCGUGUCAGAGUGCAAAACUUACGGAGAACAUCGAGGUUGCGAACCACACGGAAGCUGCCAACGACACGGACAGCGCGAACCACACGGACAUCGCAAACCACACGACUAUCACCGUCCACGACCACAUCCAGGUCGCCGGCCACACGGCCGUCCAGCCGGACAUCGUCCUCUUGGGCCACUCGGAGGCCGAUCACACCCAGUUCCACGACUUCGCCCACCAGUACCUCUUCGCCCUGCAGCACUACCAACACGCCCUCGAGGUCCAGAACAUCCACCGGGAGAUGGAGCUCGCCCACGCACACGCUCAGCGACUCACCGCGGAACCCGAGCCUGUCAAGCCAGAAGCCGAAUCUGCAAAAGUAGAAACCGAGACGGUGGAGUCGAAGAAGGUUGAGGAUACGAAGGCGGACCUUAAGGUGAAGCCGGACUGUCAAGCUGAGGAGGAGGAGGAGGAGGCUGAGUCUCAAAAGGCUGAGAUCAAGGCUGAGCCUCAGAAAGCUGAAAUCAAGGCUGAGGCCCAGAUCGGAGCGACCUUGGCCCCAGAGGAAGCUAGAAAGCCAAAAUCCGAGGUGGACACUUUCACGACGAAGCCACCGAAAGAUGCAGAGGAAGACUAUUUUUCAGAACAGCAGUCGUCUGAGGACGAGGACUCCUCAGAGGAACUGGUCGAACCGGUGCCGAGUGGUUCCAUGUUGGGGGUUGUCUAUUCCGCGUCUACUGAUGUUUCCAAGACGCGGUAUGUCAAUUCGAAUGGGGUUGGUUACGUUUUCUGAAAUGGAAGUUCUGAUAAAAGCUGAAUAAAAGUUCAGUUGAUCUUGGAGGUCGUGCUCGUGUUUGAUCUCGGUAAGGUGGAUGAUAUUCUCAUGAUCUACCGAUAUUUAUUGAAAUGCAUCUAAGUUAUUGUAUCUAAUUUAUUUUUGCGUGAAAUGUCAGAACUUUUUUGACGUGUGAUACAUCACCUUUGAAUGGGUGUAAUAUGUGAUUGUUUAUUUAUUAUUUAUUGACUUAUUUAUUUCCGAAUCUGCGAUUUUAUUUAUUAAAUGUGUGUUACUCCUUUACAUUUUUGCUCAUGGGUGAUUUCACGAUAAGAGGAAUAGUCGUGUCGCCGUGGGUUAUAAACGACAUAGGGCAAAACGAUUGAAAACCAAGUUGAUGAAUCAAUAGGAAUGAUGUUCCUGAACCUGUCCAUGCUAAAAAAUAUGAUAUAUUAUUAUUAUAUUUAAUAAUAUGAGACUUUAAAGGCCGAAAAUGUCCGGUCGGUUACGCGUCGCCAACCGCGAUUUUGAAGCAAAAGAGCAAUAUGUGGUAAUAAAUCAGUACUGAUCAUGAAUUCUUUGGCAAUAUUUGCUAAAAGGAGACUCUAAUGUUCAAGAAAAUUGCCAGUUUGAACUAAAAUUUUUAUUAUUAAGUGAGAAAAGUCAUUAGAAAGAGGUGUCGCCACAUUUGGCAACACAUUUUUGCCGUUGUAUUAAGUGCAGUAUUUAUCUCGCCAGAUGGAUGCAGGAGUUUCAAAACUGUCAUCAAAUUGUUCGCUGAAGUCUUCUCGACAAAACCAUUACUAAUAAGUCAGUUUUUUUUACAACGAAAACUUUAAUUAUUAUGAAAACCAGUGAUUUUUAGGUGUGUAGCACUAAUUCCUCACUACACAAAAUUCUCAAUUUAAUAUUAUUAAACUAAAAGGAAAUCUCCAAAGUGUAGAAAACUUUUAAGGCAGCAUUAAUUCCACCUCAUAACUCAAGAAUUGCCAAGUUUCAUCUUUUGUAUCAUCUUUUAUCUCACAUUUUCAAGUGUCGGUUACGCUGUGUCGGUUACGUAACCGACACAAUUUGGCUGGGCCGCCAUGUUUGCGUGGACCUCCAGCAGUCCCGCGGGAAGCGCUGAUACCUGAUUAAAUGGCUUGUUUAUCAAUCACUUUAACUUUGUACUGAAUCAAAAUAGAGCGUGCCAAAGCUGGAAAAAGGAAGUUUAAUAUCUUUAAAAUGAGGUAAUGAAAUCCUGUUAAAAUUGGUGCACUUUUAUUUUUAAGGUAUUUCAUAUUUUAACUAUUCCUGUUAUCGUGAAAUCACCCUCAUACUGUUAUUACCUGUCCAAAAAAGUGGUGCAAAGUUAAUCAUGACAACGAACUAUUUUUUUAGAAUUUUUAAAGAGA
rnacentral:lncRNA from 1 species